UAUCUUAUCCUAAAGUUACUUCAAUUUGAUGUAUACCUUAAAUCUUAUGGAUUGAUUUUUAUGAACUUCCUUAUAUUGCAAGACAUGCUUUAAAUUACCUUGAGAUGAGUUCUAUAAAGGUUGUCUUAUCUCAAACCUUGAGUCUUAUGAAAAUAAGCUGAAACUUAUAGAAAAUAUAUUUUUGAGAUUGACAAUUUUAUUGAACAUUAUCUUAGGAUUCUAAACUCUUAAAUGGAAUGAUCAAUUGAGGGGGAGAAAGAAAAUUUUAGAAGAAGAGGUCUUAUGGAACUUAAUCGCAUAAAUCUAUAACUAAAGGAGAGAGAAAGAACACUAAAUGAAAAGUGAUUCUAAUACUCUCCAAUAUGUAUCAUCUGAAAUUUAAAUCUGAAAAUCUGUAUGAUACACCUUGAGGCGUAUUAUUUGGUUAGUAUAUCUCAUGCAUCACUCUCGAACCAAAUUGCAAAUCUUAAGAGCCUCUAAUUUAAUGAAAAAGGGGGAGAAUAAUGUGUUAAAUUUUCUUGAGUAUCUCUUAGAAAAUCUAUUUUUGGAACUUCACUAAUGAGCUCUAAUUGGCUUGCUUUUUGGAACUUCAAUUUUGUGCAAAUUCAUUAUUUUAUGUAUCAAAUUAUGCU
rnacentral:lncRNA from 1 species